rnacentral:rRNA from 1 species
AUUGAACGCUGGCGGCAUGCUUUACACAUGCAAGUCGAACGGCAGCGCGGGCUUCGGCCUGGCGGCGAGUGGCGAACGGGUGAGUAAUACAUCGGAACGUGCCCAGUAGUGGGGGAUAGCUCGGCGAAAGCCGGAUUAAUACCGCAUACGACCUGAGGGUGAAAGCGGGGGAUCUUCGGACCUCGCGCUAUUGGAGCGGCCGAUGGCAGAUUAGCUAGUUGGUGGGGUAAAGGCCUACCAAGGCGACGAUCUGUAGCUGGUCUGAGAGGACGACCAGCCACACUGGGACUGAGACACGGCCCAGACUCCUACGGGAGGCAGCAGUGGGGAAUUUUGGACAAAGGGCGAAAGCCUGAUCCAGCAAUGCCGCGUGUGUGAUGAAGGCUUUCGGGUUGUAAAGCACUUUUGGCGGGAACGAAAAGGACUGUGCCAAUACCACGGUUCGAUGACGGUACCCGCAGAAUAAGCACCGGCUAACUACGUG